CGUCACCGUCUACUCCACCGUCCACAACCUCCUCCUUCACCGCCACCCCUCCGGCCACCCUCCCAAAUCCCUCCUUUCCAAACUUCCGCCUCUCCUCCCUCGCCUCAACAACUUCAAUUCCCUCCACCACCACCACCACCACAAUUUCUCCCCCGAUGACGACGAUCUCCCGUUCCCAGUCGAAACCCUAGCCCUCGCCGCCGGAUUCGCCCUCUUCCUCUCCAUCUACACCAACCUAGCCCUCGGAUCCAUCACCUACAGCGUCCUCCACGGCUUCUACGGCCGGCCCGUCAAGCUCAUCUCCGCCG
rnacentral:lncRNA from 1 species